GACGAACGCUGGCGGCGUGCUUAACACAUGCAAGUCGAGCGGAGCGGCGAACGGGUGAGUAACGCGUGAAUAACUGCCCCCCUCUCUGGGAUGACCGUUGGAAACGGCUGCUAAUACCGGAUAGUGGGGGAUGACUCGCGUCCUAGUAGAUUGUUGGGGGGGUAGUGGCCUACCACGGCUACGACUGGUAGCCGGCCUGGGAGGGGGACCGGCCACAUUGGGCUGAGGUACGGCCCAAACUCCUACGGGGGGCAGCAGUGGGGAAUAUUGCACAAUGGGGGCAACCCUGAUGCAGCAACGCCGCGUGCGGGAUGUCGGUCUUCGGGUUGUAAACCGCUUUCAGCCAUGACGCGGUAGUGGCAGAAGAAGCACCGGCUAACUACGUGCCAGCAGCCGCGGUAAUUC
rnacentral:rRNA from 1 species